GCCUGAUUGGCUUAGUCAGUAGAGUAUGUGACUCUUGAUCUCAAGGUUGUGGAUUCAAGCCCCAUGUUGAGUG
rnacentral:tRNA from 1 species